rnacentral:rRNA from 1 species
UACGUAGGGUGCGAGCGUUAAUCGGAAUUACUGGGCGUAAAGCGUGCGCAGGCGGUCGUGCAAGUCAGAUGUGAAAUCCCCGGGCUCAACCUGGGAACUGCAUUUGUGACUGCACGGCUGGAGUGCGGCAGAGGGGGAUGGAAUUCCGCGUGUAGCAGUGAAAUGCGUAGAUAUGCGGAGGAACACCGAUGGCGAAGGCAAGCCCCUGGGCCUGCACUGACGCUCAUGCACGAAAGCGUGGGGAGCAAACAGG